rnacentral:rRNA from 1 species
CAGCCGCCACGGGAAUACAGAGGGUGCGAGCGUUAAUCGGAUUUACUGGGCGUAAAGCGUGCGUAGUCGGCUUUUUAAGUCGGAUGUGAAAUCCCUGAGCUUAACUUAGGAAUUGCAUUCGAUACUGGGAAGCUAGAGUAUGGGAGAGGAUGGUAGAAUUCCAGGUGUAGCGGUGAAAUGCGUAGAGAUCUGGAGGAAUACCGAUGGCGAAGGCAGCCAUCUGGCCUAAUACUGACGCUGAGGUACGAAAGCAUGGGGAGCAAACAGGAUUAGAUACCCGAGUAGUCCCUGUCUCUUAUAC